GACGAACGCUGGCGGCGUGCUUAACACAUGCAAGUAGAACGGGGUGGCGAACGGGUGAGUAACACGGGGGUGAUCUGCCUUGCACUUCGGGAUAAGCUUGGGAAAAUGGGUCUAAUACAGGAAAGUGCAAGAGGAGAUCGCGGCCUAUCAGCUUGUUGGUGGGGUAAUGGCCUACCAAGGCGUAUACGGGUGGCCGGCCUGAGAGGGUGUACGGCCAGUUUGGGACGUAGAUACUGGCCAGACUCCUACGGUAGGCAGCAGUGGGUAUUAUUGCACAAUGGGCGGAAGCCUGCUGCAGCGACUCCGCGGGGGUGAUGAAUGCCUUCUGGUUGUAAACUCCUUUCGAAAGGUACGCGGGACCUGUAUAAGAAGCUCCGGCUAACUACGUGACAGCAGCCGCGGUAAUUC
rnacentral:rRNA from 1 species